GUGAUAAUUGAAUUUAACGGCCGCGGUAGCAUGACCGUGCUAAGGUAGCAUAAUCAUUUGUCCUUUAAUUGAGGACUGGUAUAAACGGCUGCACAAGAAAUUGUCUGUCUCUACUAUAAAAUUUGAAAUUCACAUUUAAGUGAAAAGGCUUAAAUGGAAUAGGGGGACGAUAAGACCCUAUAAAUCUUUACAAUUUAGGGCUUUAGUUAUUAGAAAGUAGUUAUGGAUCUAAAUCUAAGAUUUAAAUUGUUUUGUUGGGGCGACAGAAGUAUAAUAAGUAACUGCUUUGGUUUUCAUAUUAAUUGUUUUUAUUAUGGUUAGUUUAAAAGAUCCUCUUUUGGAGAUCACAGACUAAGUUACUUUAGGGAUAACAGCGUAAUCUUUCUUGAGAGUUCAUAUCGAAAGAAGGGUUUGCGACCUCGAUGUUGAAUUAAAGAACCUUUAUGGUGUAGCCGC
rnacentral:rRNA from 1 species